CAUCUACUCCCUCCGUUCGGAAUUACUUGUCUCAGAAAUGAUGUAUCUAGAACUAAAAUACGUCUAGAUACAUCCAUUUCUACGACAAGUAAUUCCGAACGGAGGGAGUAGAAC
rfam:Triticum aestivum genome assembly, contig: Triticum_aestivum_CS42_TGACv1_scaffold_641085_T_2BS-0.133919_7BS-0.095451